rnacentral:rRNA from 1 species
UACAGAGGGGGCAAGCGUUAUUCGGAAUUAUUGGGCGUAAAGGGCGCGUAGGCGGCCUGGCAAGUGGAAGGUGAAAUCCCUCGGCUUAACCGAGGAACUGCCCUCCAAACUGCUUGGCUUGAGUCCGGGAGAGGUGAGUGGAAUUCCCAGUGUAGCGGUGAAAUGCGUAGAUAUUGGGAGGAACACCGAUGGCGAAGGCAAUCCCCUGGGCCUGCACUGACGCUCAUGCACGAAAGCGUGGGGAGCAAACAGG